rnacentral:rRNA from 1 species
GAGGGAAAGGCGAAAAGUACCCCUGUGAGGGGAGUGAAAUAGAACCUGAAACCGUGUACGUACAAGCAGUAGGAGCAGGCUUGUCCUGUGACUGCGUACCUUUUGUAUAAUGGGUCAGCGACUUAAUUUUAGUAGCAAGGUUAACCAUCUAGGGGAGCCGUAGGGAAACCGAGUCUUAACUGGGCGUCAUAGUUGCUAGGAUUAGACCCGAAACCGAGUGAUCUAGCCAUGGGCAGGUUGAAGAUUGAGUAACAUCAAUUGGAGGACCGAACCGACUAAUGUUGAAAAAUUAGCGGAUGACUUGUGGCUAGGGGUGAAAGGCCAAUCAAACUCGGAGAUAGCUGGUUCUCCCCGAAAGCUAUUUAGGUAGCGCCUCGGACGAAUACUACUGGGGGUAGAGCACUGUUAAGGCUAGGGGGUCAUCCCGACUUACCAACCCUUUGCAAACUCCGAAUACCAGUAAGUACUAUCCGGGAGACACACGGCGGGUGCUAACGUCCGUCGUGAAGAGGGAAACAACCCAGACCGCCAGCUAAGGUCCCAAAGUUAUAGCUAAGUGGGAAACGAUGUGGGAAGGCUCAGACAGCCAGGAUGUUGGCUUAGAAGCAGCCAUCAUUUAAAGAAAGCGUAAUAGCUCACUGGUCGAGUCGGCCUGCGCGGAAGAUUUAACGGGGCUAAGCUAUACACCGAAGCUGCGGCAAUGUGCU